CGCUUCCUGAAUCCAUGCCGAGAUUUCAUCUUACAUCAACCAAUCUAGGCUGAUGAGACUUCUAAGACAAGUGAAGCG
rnacentral:pre_miRNA from 1 species